rnacentral:tRNA from 1 species
AAGGGUACAGCUCAAGUGGUAGAGCGCGUGCUUAGCAAGCACGAGGUCCUGGGUUCAAUCUCCGGCACCUCCU